rnacentral:lncRNA from 1 species
AUGCUCACCACCGCAGCUCACUCAGCAGCAGUCCGUGCCCACUCAGCCCGGCCCUCAGCCUCAGCCCGCGCUCUCCGUGCCCCGAGCACGGCGCAGCUCCUCCCUUCCCUUUUUCACCGCUCGCCGACUUCCACGAUGCUUCCCUGGGCGUGCCUGGAGACAGCGCUCGCUACAGAGACAGCGCUCCUUCCCUCACUUUCAAACCCCCCGGCACAGCGCCCGCCUCACGCAUCACCCCUGGCAGGAGGUGAGCUGAGCUACCGCGCCCCUCGCCAUUGUCUUCCCGCGCUCCCCACGGCAGCUCCAGGCAGGCCGGCCCGGCCGCGCAGCCCACCUGCACGCCGGUUGUUUCCGGAAGGCAGGCGAGCCGCAGGAGCCGAGGGCGUCACCUGGGCACGCCGUCCAGCCCCGGCCCUAUUGUCUGCCCGGCCCCGCGCAGCACAGCCGGAGCCCAGGAGCAUCAGCCGCGCGGGGCUGGGCCAGGCCCUGCCGGGACGGACGGCCCGAACCGAGGGAAGCGGAGCCGCGGGUGGCGCGGAAACGCCCGUGCACGGGGCCGCGACACGCCUCAAUCCGCGCCGCGCCUACCUGCGAGCCGCGCGCACGGCCAGCAUGGGGAGGGAGAGGAGGGCGGCGCGAGGGGAGGCGGGGCCGCAUGGCGAGGAGGAGGAGAAGGAGGAGAAGGAGGAAGGGCCGGCGUCGCUUCGCCGUCACCGCCGCCGCCCUCCAGCCGGGCGCGGGCACAGCCGCCGGGACCGCGCUGCCGCCUCGCGCAUCCGCUUCCGCCGCCUCCGCCGCGCGGUGCUGCCGCCCCCGGCGCCUCUCUCCUCCCGCCCCGCUGGCCGCGCGGUAAGGCGAUGCCCCAGGGCGACGCUGACCGGGCCGGUGGGGGGCGGGCGUGGAGGGACCUGUUACCCAGGCUCUGCUGCCGGGCCGCGGGAGCUCUCGGGGGCAUGGCGGCCCUCGGCCGUGCCGGUGGAGGCCGGUGAACCAGCAGCGCUGCCCAGCCCGGGAGCCUCUCGUUGGCCGUUAUCUCGGCCCUUCGCUGCGUGCAGCCCGCGGCAGCCGACCUCGGCCCUCCGGUGA